UAAGUACUUCCUCCGAUCCAUAUUAAUUGUCGAAAUAUUACAUGUAUCUAGACGCUUUUUAGACAUAGAUACAUCCAUAUUUGGGCAAAUUUGAGACAAUUAAUAUGGAUCGGAGGGAGUACUAA
rnacentral:pre_miRNA from 1 species